AAACAGGUCUUCCUGAAGACCACCAAUUAAGUAGAUUUAUUUACUAU
rfam:Xenopus tropicalis strain Nigerian Chr01_contig_1428, whole genome shotgun sequence.